rnacentral:lncRNA from 7 species
AAUUGUGACCUUUGGCCUUCUGUUGUGCUCCUAAUGGUGUAGUGUUAGGCAGCAAACUGAUGAUGCUGGAAGCUCUGUCCCAGACUGAUCUGGGGGAGAAAAAAGGAAAUUUCCUGCCAACUAGAAGUUCUGAGAAGAUUUCAUUCUGGAAACAACAAACGUUGUAUUUCUGUGUUCCCUGGUUCCUGCAGCUUCUCAGUGAAAAUGGCAUUUGACAGUGACUUGCACUUCACAGAUCUUGGUCUGUGGAUGUCUGGAGGUGGCCAAGAUAGCAAAUGCUUUCAGAAGAAAGAUGACAGAAGAAAGCAAGAAUUGUUUUUGGUCGUCUUUGGCAGGCUAGGUCAUUCCUCUGUUUCAAACACUUUUGCGGAAUGCCUUGCUCUGGGAGAAUACAUCUGAUCUUCCAUGGUGGAAGCAAUUUCCACAUGAAUGCACUGUGUUCCUCUUGUGCAAAUACCUGUGCCUGUGAACAGAUUUGAGCCCAUAAACACUGUUUUGGCUGUUUUGUUUGUCUUUGAAGAUGACUGCCAACCUUCGACUUCCACAGCAGGAAUCUUGCGUAAGACCACAUGUGAAAGAAAACCAUCCAUGUAACAUUUAAAAUCCAUUGUUUUGUUAGUUAAGAGGAAAUGCAGUUAGACCAGUUUUUUAUGGCUUUUUCACAGCUUUCAUGAUCUUGUGGGAGCAUGUAAUCAUACAGCAUUAAAAGGAAAUCCAAAUCUAGAUUCAUCUGUUAUCUUGUUAAGGGGAAAAUGCAUGUGAUGAGUGGAUUGGUAGGAUUAAGUCACUACAAGAAAUCAUAACCUUCUGUUGUGCUUGCAUAUAGCAACCUGAUAAUGUUAGUUGUCUCUACCAUAAGGGAGCAGAAUGCCUAUGUUUUAUAACAAAUUGAAACAUGAUGCUGUAGGCACACAGCAUAGUAAGAGAGUGUGUGUAAACACUUGCAUACGUGUUCAUAUAUAUACAUGUACGUUCUUCUGGUACAUGUAUAUUUCUUUCCAGAUGCAGUUGGAGUCCUGGCUGCUGUGAGAGUUAGAUGGCUUUCUUGUGCAAUGUGGGUGUUUAUCAUCCUGCUGUAACUGUUCAUGCUGUUAUGAGUUUCCACUUGGGAGCCAUUUUCAGGCACAUGUUCCUGUCAACCAAGGUCAGCGCUGAGCCAGAGAAGCAGAGCACAGGUGGUAUGUCAUAGUUAGCCUCUUUCUUUUGGCUUCAGACUGUGGCACUUCUCAAUUUAAUUUAUGAUUAAACCAUUGCCCUGAGAUAAUACAAAAAAUCUUAGUGUAUUUCUGCCUGGAUUUCAGAGAAAUGGUUCUUUAAAUAAACAAGGGAAAAAAUGAGUGAAUGCAUAAAAAGGGACUCAGACCUGACCAAAAUCCUGUGGAAAGACUCUUUGGAUUUCAGCAGGCUCUACUUGUCCUUAAUACACACUCUGUUGUGUCUAAUCCUAGGUGGGAGUAUCACAUUUUCAGGCUGUAAGUGGCUACUUGCCUCUCAUAAGGUGCAGUGCUGGUGGCAGUGGAGAAAGCCCAGGGUGAGGGGAGAGUUUGUGGCAAAGAGUGUUUUUUUUCUUUUUUUUCUUUUUUUUUCCUGCUUGGAUGGCAGCUGGAUUCUACACAAAAAAGCCCUAAGGGGAGAAAUACAUCAGGGUCAUUACAACUGUCAUUUGGCAGUUACGUAUUCUUGAAAUAAACUGUUAACACAAUUUUGCUGAUUCUUGCCAAACAGCAAGGGCAAGUUGGCUGUAUUUUUGGAGCUAGAAUGGGACUGCAAGCUUUAGAAAUCCUCUCUACAGUCAGCUGAUGAAAGAAUAUGGGAAACAGUGUCUGGAUGUUAACCUUCUUACCUGCAGAAAUCCAUGCUUGUGUAUGCAUACACAUACUGUGUUUUUGUCAAUUAUCAGUGCAGACUAUCGAAAGUUCCACCAGAUUUUUACUUGUCCUUGAAUGUUAUUAUUAAUAACCUAUUAAAAGGUAAUGCUUUAAG